rnacentral:ncRNA from 1 species
AGAAUAGAGGCGCGGUCUUUAUGACAAACGCGGAACGGGGUUAAAAGUUCCGCGCGGGAAAGGAAAGAUCGCCGAAGAGAUAAGGCUAUCCCCACGCUUUACCGUCUGGGCGUAAACGGAAUACGUUUGCGACUGUCGCAAAAAGUUCGCUUUUUGCGUUGCGCUAUUG